rnacentral:misc_RNA from 1 species
GGCCAGACCCGCGCGGGCACUCAUACGCCCACCCACGCAGGCACAAACCUGCGAGAAUGGUUGUCGAGUUCGGGUGAUAUGCGAAGGAAUUAGAUCAAGCCCUGAAUCGAAAAAAAAAAGCAACAACAGCAGGAACGGGGCUGCUGAUGGUCGCAGAAGCUAGAGCAUGCAUCGUACAGUGAGACGUGGGUGUUUUUUUUUUGUUCCUUCUCUGUCUUCAGAGUCCAACGCUGCGAUUUGCGCCUUUCACUCGCUGACCGCUGACGAGCGCCGCACUUGAUCGCAACGGAGAAAAGAGGAGUGGUGGUGCUCACAGCACAGCGUAGCGCGCCGUCGCGAGGUCGUAAUCUCGUGACGUGAGCGGGCUGCACAACCGGUCAAACGUGAUAUCGCCAAGGCGCCUCUUUAUAUCUGACGCACAUAAUUACGGUAACCGCCUGGAGCUUCACCAAUUACCUCACUUAAUAGAUCCCCCGCCCACCGUGUCGGAGCUCUCUCAGCAAGGGUACAGAGGGAAGGUGGCAGGGGGGAGUAUGCCCAUCGCCCCGUCGUCCUUCAUGGUGGAGAGGACCGGCACGUGCGCCGUGCUGGAUGUGCGUCAUCGCACCGUUAUCGUGGCCAUCGAGGCAGAGUUGCUGGAUUCCUGGGCAUCGGCGGCGGAUGGCGAGCCCACGCCCUACGCCCUGUGGGCUCUGACUAUCCCCAUGCGAGUGGCCUGCUUUGCGGACGGCUUCUACACGGCAACCGCUCCCGUGCCUCUCGCCUGCGCAAACUGUGUGCCCGGAGCGCCGCGCUGCCGCAUUGUUGUGUCUCUGCACCGCUGGGACCUUUGCAAGGGCACUCGCUCUGCGCUUCUGCUGGCUCCACUCGAUGCGCCUUCGGUGCUUGUUCGGGAGGCACUGGAAGAGGCACUCGGCGUGCGUCGCGCAGAGGCACAAUUGCCGCCGCCAUUGAAGAUUGCGCCGGUGGUGCGAUGGCGGUUGAGCGGGACAGAGAUGCUAUCGCCUGGCCUACUGGCGGAGGUUGAGUGGCAGCCGCUCCUGCACCGGCGCUGGUAUGAACUAAAGAGCUACGUCCGCCAGGGUACGGUGGUCCCGCACUAUUCUGCGAGGGCUGGUCGUCGCACAACCAAUGGCGCUGACAGCUACGACGGCAGCGCUGGCUCCUUGAACGGUGGCUCCCCCGCGUCUACCGGCGUCAUGUUCGCCGGCGAUGUGAAGGAGGCUGACGCCGUGUCGGUGAACAGGGCUUGUAUCAGGUGGACGGACGGUGUGGUGGGCCUCUGGGACGAGGUGAAGCCGUAUUACCGCGUGUACCAGCCAGCGCGGCCGGAGAAGACGAUUCGGGUUCGCCGCUUUCCCCACCGGUACGCGGACGUAGUGGGGGAGGUUCCCUUCGGGCAGCGUAUCGAGGCCUUUGGCCGCGCCACAGACCCCUUCACGGCGGAGCAGUACGCCCUGGUGUACCUCCCAGCCGAGGAGGCCUUUGCGACACACAUAUCCACGUACCAUCUCACUUACGUGGAGGAGGGACGGUACAUCUGGGGCUGGUCGAAACUAUCAGGGGCAAGUGGCCUGCCGCUGUUGGUCGAGGCUGAGGACAACGACGCGAAAGCUGGCCACAUCCCUGCCGGGUCAGGGAACGGCUGCGCCAUCGCGUCACCCGCCCGUGAUACGCGCUCAAGAGUGCAGGAAGGCGAUGGAUCGGAUGUCAUGCCUCUCCCAGAGCCCACGUUCUACACUCCUGUCCGAGAUGGUCGCCCGGUGAGCAUUCGAUCCAUGCCGUGCAUGUCGUCGUCGGUGGUGCGAGAGAUGGAAAUGAACGAAGUGCGGGCGGCGGUGGCUCUGGUGACGGUGCCGCUGCGCCUUCCGGCGGACCCCGCGAGCGCGCCUGUCAGCCACGUCUUUCUGGAAUGGCAGGGGGGCGGCUACUCCCUGCUGCGGAAUGCGACGGAGUCCUUCCUGGCGCCGGUGCAGUUGUCGCGGGUGCCGCGCCGCUUCCCCAUCCGCACGCGCAGCGGCGGCGAUGACGGCACGGUAGCCGCGCCGGAGGUUCUGGACCUCUGCCGGGCUCGCAGCCACGCGCACCGGCACUCUUCGGCCGCCUCGGAGGACAAGGAUGAGGAGGCAAAGCUAGCUGAGAUGAUGCGGCCACACCGCACGCCGGCGCGCGUGGCUGUCGACACUUCCCUGCUGAGCCCGCAUUCCCUGCCAGCGUGUCUGCAGGAGGCCCUGAGGAGGGGAGUGGUGCGGCUGGAGGACCUGCCCGCCGUCGGGGGCGAUGGCGAGGCGAAUCAAAGCGACAGCAGCGGCGACUGCAGUAGCGCCUGCUGAAGACGGAGCAGCCGUCUUGUUCUUAGCCCCCCCCCCACACACACACUUCAUCUCCGCCGAUGCACGCGUGACGCUUCCCUCUUUGGCGGGUCGUGGACGAGCAAUGACGGGCGCGUGGGGGAUGCGCGGCGGUAGUGAUAAUCGAGACCUUUUCGGGUCUGUCGGUUGUGUAACACGUAUGCCGUAUGCGAAGAGCAGGACGCCGCUACUGCGGUUGUCUGCGGUCGGCGCACGCAACACGAGCCAGAUCAAGUAAAAUCCAAGAGGGUACGUAAAACAAACACUGUAGAGAGGUGUGAUGAUUUACAGUCAUUGGGCAUCAUGUCCCACAUGUCGUGUUCCUCUCGCCCUCUUCCCCCUUACACACUCUCACAUAG